CCCUCCCCUAAAUCACUCCAAAAAAAACAAUCCCCAAUUCUACACAAGUGUUUCUACACUAACAAAGCAACAGCUCCUUAACGAAUUCCCAACUUUACACGAGCUCGUCUCUCGAGGUUAAAUGUUAUUACUUGGUAAGAUUCCGGACCUCGCCAAGUGUUUUGAAAACCCGCAACGCUCGCAAAGGUGGAUAGUGAGAAUAAUAAGUGAAGAGACAGACUUGUCCAAAACGCCCACCACGAAGGUGCAUAGUGAGAAGAGUAAGUCAAGAGAUAGACUUGUCCAAAAAGAAACGGAAGAGAAAGCUUGGGGAGACGCUCACGAAGGUGCAUAGUGAGAAGAGUAAGUCAAGAGAUAGACUUGUUCAAAAAGAAACAGAAGAGAAUGCUUGGGGUUACACUCACGAAGGUGCAUAGUGAGAAGAGUAAGUCAAGAGACAGACUUGUUCAAAAAGAAACGAAAGAGAAUGCUUGGGGAGAUAGAAGUGUGAGAUAGUUCUCAAGCUAAGAAAGUUGUAAAAGCUAAGAACUAGCAAGUAAUCGUCCAGGAUUCCUCCACCAGGACUUGAAAUCGUCGAGGGAAAAAAAUCGGUUCCGAGGAAUCGUCGAUCCGGACUUGGAAUCGUCGAGAAAAGUUUACCGGGUCCGAGGAUUUGUCGACCAGGAGUGGAAAUCGUCGAGAAAAAUCUAUCGGGUCCGAGGAAUCGUCGACCAGGACGAGGAAUCGUCGACCGGGUCCGAGGAUUUGUCGACCAGGGGUUGAAAUCGUCGACCGGGUCCGAGAAUUCGUCGAC
rnacentral:misc_RNA from 1 species